CCUGGUUGAUUCUGCCAGUAGUCAUAUGCUUGUCUCAAAGAUUAAGCCAUGCAAGUCUAAGUUUAAGCACCUAAACGGCGAAACUGCGAAUGGCUCAUUAAAUCAGUUAUCGUAUAUUUGAUAGUACCUACUACAUGGAUAACCGUGGUAAUUCUAGAGCUAAUACAUGCUUAAAAUCCCGACUUCGGAAGGGAUGUAUUUAUUAGAUUAAAAACCAAUGCCCUUCGGGGCUCACUGGUGAUUCAUAAUAACUUCUCGAAUCGCAUGGCCUUGUGCCGGCGAUGGUUCAUUCAAAUUUCUGCCCUAUCAACUUUCGACGGCUGGGUCUUGGCCAGCCGUGGUUACAACGGGUAACGGAGGGUUAGGGCUUGACCCCGGAGAAGGAGCCUGAGAAACGGCUACUACAUCCAAGGAAGGCAGCAGGCGCGCAAAUUACCCAAUCCCGACACGGGGAGGUAGUGACAAUAAAUACUGAUACAGGGCUCUUUUGGGUCUUGUAAUUGGAAUGAGUACAAUUUAAAUCCCUUAACGAGGAACAAUUGGAGGGCAAGUCUGGUGCCAGCAGCCGCGGUAAUUCCAGCUCCAAUAGCGUAUAUUAAAGUUGUUGCAGUUAAAAAGCUCGUAGUUGAACUUUGGGCCUGGCUGGCCGGUCUGCCUCACCGCAUGCACUGGUCCGGCCGGGCCUUUCCCUCUGGGGAUCCGCAUGCCCUUCACUGGGUGUGUCGGGGAACCAGGACUUUUACUGUGAAAAAAUUAGAGUGUUCAAAGCAGGCCUAUGCUCGAAUACAUUAGCAUGGAAUAAUAGAAUAGGACGUUGCGGUUCUAUUUUGUUGGUUUCUAGGACCGCCGUAAUGAUUAAUAGGGACAGUCGGGGGCGUCAGUAUUCAAUCGUCAGAGGUGAAAUUCUUGGAUCGAUUGAAGACUAACUACUGCGAAAGCAUUCGCCAAGGAUGUUUUCAUUAAUCAGGAACGAAAGUUAGGGGAUCGAAAACGAUCAGAUACCGUUGUAGUCUUAACCAUAAACUAUGCCGACUAGGGAUCGGGCGAUGUUAUUUCUUGACUCGCUCGGCACCUUACACGAAAGUAAAGUUUUUGGGUUCUGGGGGGAGUAUGGUCGCAAGGCUGAAACUUAAAGAAAUUGACGGAAGGGCACCACAAGGGGUGGAGCCUGCGGCUUAAUUUGACUCAACACGGGGAAACUCACCAGGUCCAGACACAACUAGGAUUGACAGAUUGAGAGCUCUUUCUUGAUUUUGUGGGUGGUGGUGCAUGGCCGUUCUUAGUUGGUGGAGUGAUUUGUCUGCUUAAUUGCGAUAACGAACGAGACCUUAACCUGCUAAAUAGCCCGGCCCGCCUAGGCGGG
rnacentral:rRNA from 1 species